rnacentral:pre_miRNA from 1 species
UUAGUACUGGGUUGGCACAGAGUAGUACUAUGUAAAAUUCUAUUUCAUAGUACGACCCGUGUCGGCCCAGUAAGAG